rnacentral:tRNA from 1 species
GCGGGUGUGCUGGAAUUGGCAGACAGGUACGGUUGAGGGCCGUAUGUCUAACCGACGUAUGGGUUCAAGUCCCAUCACCCGCACCA